ensembl:lncRNA
AAACAAAAUGAAGCUAUUAAAUAUUUUAAGUACCAUCUGAUUUCCAAAUAGGAAUAAAUUUUUAUGAGAUCACAACCUGGAAUAAAGGAAAAGAAUUGCUGAACAGCAAUCAGGAGAUAGAGGUCCACUGCAGAAGCAGACAGACUAUGGCACAGGAGAAAAGUCACUUUUAUUUAUGUAGUGGUCCUUGCACGGGGAAAAAAAGUGGUGCUCAGAGCUCCAGUAGACAGUGCUUUCUGAGAAAGAUAAUCUCCCUUUCCCUAUUUAAGUCCCCUCCCCUUCGGACCUCGGAGGUAAAAUAAAUCUUAAUCAUCAGCUCUGGUUGUUGGCUGGGGGUUUUCCAAGGCAGCCAAUAUCUAAUUUCCCUCUUUUUGUCUGAAUGUAAAAGGUGAGGCUCUUUUCAAGAUAUCCUAUUUCUCUUAUUCCCUGUAUCUGUUAGUCAGCCCUUGCUGAUUAUUUUUUGCUGUAUCAAGCUACAGUAUAUUAAAAGUGCUCUCCUCUCAAAUGAAAUGUCUUACAAUUUAAAUCUCUUACUAGGAGUGUCAGCAUUGCCAUGGGACAUCUCCAUCCUCCCAAAGCAAACAAAAUUGACACAGUUGAUUUGGUGUAUAAAUGUCUGCAGCUUUAUUAAAUAUGCAUUAAAGUGCAACAGUCAUAAAUUACAUGCACUCAGCCCACUCAGAACAUAAUGUGUACAGCUAAAUAACUUUCUGACUGUACAACCUAAGCAAUAAGGCCAGCCUAAAGACUGACUGGAAGCUGAAAGUCAGUUCCCUAAAGCGGAUGCUAUUGGAGUAUCAUUUUAUCACACUGUAAGCACCUCACCUCUCGUGUGGUGUAUAUAUGAGUAAAGGGGGGAGGAAAGGGAAAAUGAGAUCUCUGUAUUACUUUUACUUUAAAUUAUCUAUUUCAUUUGCUAGUGUGUGCAUUCCUUGACAUGGAAGGAUAAGCUAUUUGAUUCUUGCAGAUUUCUGUUUACUGUAUGGAAGGAAAACCCUCUCAAAUAAGGAAAUAUUUGUUGCUGAUUAUACUAGUGCUAAUUUAUACCUUGUUUUUAAAUAUCAAUUUAAACCCCAAAUAUGCUAAUGUCUUUCAAAAGCUGCAUGCAUAUAUAUAUACUGGGAUUAUGAGGGGUGUUCGAAAAGCAGUGCCUCCUAUGUUAUUAUGUUGGCCCACAAAAGCAGAGGCAGACACUCGUGGUUCAGCAGUAGAGGUUGAACUUUCCCACCAAUAUUCAGUUUAAUUUUGUUGCUGUGCAACAGAUGGCAGCAAAGGGGCUGUCUGACAAAAUGGUGUCUGACAUAAAAGUACAUGUGAAGAAAAAGUGUGUAACUGAAUUCCUCCAUGUGGAAAAAAUGGCAUCCAUUAGCAUUCAUUGACACUCGCUGAGCGUAUGCUCAGACCAAGCGAUGGAUGUGAGAACAGUGAGGUGGUGGGUGGUGCAUUUCAGCAGUGACAACUGUGACGUGACAGUAGAUCACCUCCACUGUUGCAGAUUUUGAGUGUGACUUGCAGGCUCUUGUUCAUUGCUGACAAAAAUGCAUAUCUAAUCAUGGUGACUGUAUUGAAAAAUAGGGUUUUGUAGCUGAGAAGUUGUUCUACCACACAGAAAUAUUGUACUCUUUGUAUCUGUUGUUUCCAUGGAAAUAAAUAUGAGGCAUUACUUU